rnacentral:tRNA from 3 species
GCCGGGCUAGCUCAGUGGUAGAGCGCCGGUCUGAAAAACCGGGCGUCCUCAGUUCGAUUCUGGGGCCCGGCA